GCUACAUGAAGACAUUAAACAUGUUAGAAACACGCUAGAUGAAACUUGUUACAGUUCAUUUGAAUCAUGAUAAAGCCCACCGAGAGCAACAGCUAAUAUUUCAGGUCAGAUGUCACACAAAAUGUUAUUAGAUUUGCAUAAACUGAUUUUUUAAAGGCAGCAUCAGUUCUUAUUUGCAGUCAUGCAUUAAAGCUCCUCAAAGAAACUUUCUGUCUGUGUUGUGUUUGGCGCCCCCUUGUGGAUAAAGUGGUAACCUUUCUAUCAUUACUGAUCAUUACUUGUUAAAAAAAGCAUUGAAAAGCUAAAAUAAUCCCUUUCUCUUUUUCCUUCAUCGCAUCCAGAACGUCUACGAAAAGGCCGUAUCUGCCGAUUGUAGCUGAUCGUAACCAUUCAAGUUAAUGUGUCAAUUUUCACUGUCUUCUUUCCGCUCCACUGCGGAUCGCAAGAGUUCUUAACAGAGGCUGUUUGAUUAUGGUACCGACCCCCUAACAGCAGAUAACAGCCAUAAAAAAAUGACACUUUAAGGCUCGUUUAUGCCAUACGUAUGAAAAUGUACGUGUCCGUUUCAGAUGAUGGUUCUGUCACUGCUCACAAAUUUUUAUGUGUCCUUUACGUUGGCAUCGAUGUUAACCAUUACAUCCAGCUGUUUCCUGCAGAGCAGGUCAUUUUUGCAGCUGAUUUAUUACCGUAAAGUAUCUCUCUCUUAAACACAAGUCUUCUGCAAGAUUUUAGAAAAACAAGCCCAGUUCAGGGCCGUAAAUGUCAUGAAUCUGGGCUGAACUCAGACUCAGACACAAGCAGGAAAGGUGAAAACUCCGGUUUUCUGCUCUCAAACUGUCAGAGAUGGUAAAAGUGUGGCUCGCUGACGAGAGGGCUGAGCUGUGGGGAAACUCAGGGGAGGGCUCGACUGUGGGAAUCCUACGAGUACGAGGCCGUUAGGCGAGGAGGCUUGCAGACAGGAGAGCAGGUAUUGCAGCGGUUGGAAAUGUUGCACAGAGACAAACUGUGAAUGGAACGAGCUCUGGCAGGGCAGGGUGAACCUGAUGAUGGGUGACAGAGAGAGAGAGAGAGAGAGGCCGACCAAAAACAGGGGGAACAGAGUUUCUGUUGCAUCACAGUAUAUCUGUGUUUUUAUUUGGGCUUAUGUUCUUAUGUUAGAUAGUCAAAGAGCUUAAAUCUACUUUUAAAAGCCAAGUUACAAAGCGCUCCAUCAAAGCAGCAAAAUAAAACAGACCACUUCUCAGAUCUGACAUUAAAGCAAAGACGGAGAAACGGCACAUAUUUCAAAGACAUCUAGUCAUUAGAAGAUCUAAAAAAAGGACAUUAAAGCAAAAUGAGGACAAACUCUCUGAUAAAAGACUGUUUUUUUUUUUUUUGGCAGGGAUUGAACAGAGAUCACUGACUCAGCUGGUCUGAUAACCUAUGGCAGAUUGUUCCCUUGACUAUAACAUCAGACGGCGAUAUGACUUCUGCAAAUGUCGGCCAACUGAUACAGUCAGCAGUUCGCCGCGGAGGCCGUCUGAUCGGGACUUCCUUUCGUGUGUUGCUGUUGUUAACUUUCCAACUCUCAACUAGAAAAGAGAAUUUGUGAUGAGACACAGCAGCUGAAACGGGAUGAGCUGAAAUCUUUCAGUUUCAAGACUUUGAUUAAAGAUCAAUCGUUGAUGGAUAGAUGCUGAUGGGUUUCAGGGUUGCAUCAUGGCGGCUUCAUCUACGUCUGCGUAGAAACAGCUGCUGCAUCCUAUUUUUGUAUCAUAUCAUGUGGUGUGGUAUCCUAUCAUAUAUGUAUCAUAUCAUAUCAUAUCAUAAUGUAUCAUGUCCUAUUGUACCAUUAUCUGAUUUCAUCUUAUAAUAUUUCAUAUGAUAUUAUAUCAAAGCAUAUCAUGUCACUUGUUGUAUAUCAUGUCCUAUUAUAUCGGCAUAUCAUUUUGUAUCUUAUAUUGUAUCGUGUCAUAUCAUAUCAUUUCAUGUCGUAUCAUACCAUUUCGUAUCAUAUCAUAUUGUAUCAUCAUCUCAAAUCUUUUCUCAAUAUAUCAUAUUCUAUUAUAUCAAAACAUAUCAUAUUAUCUUAUAUCGUGUCAUAUCAUAUCAUCGUAUCAUAACGUAUCACAUAUCAUAUAUCAUAUCAUAUCAUAUUGUAUCAUAUCAUAUCACAUCCUAUCAUAUGGUAUCAUAUGAUAUCACAUCAUAUCAUAUCAAAGCAUAUCAUGUCAUAUGAUAUCGUAUCAUAUCAUAUCAUAUCAUAUCAUAUAAUAUCAUACCAUACCAUAUCAUAUUAUAUCAUUUCGUAUCAUAUCAUAUUGUAUCAUCAUCUCAAAUCUUUUCUCAAUAUAUCAUAUUCUAUUAUAUCAAAACAUAUCAUCAUAUUAUCUUAUAUCGUGUCAUAUCAUAUCAUCAUAUCAUAACGUAUCAUAUAUCAUAUCAUAUCAUAUCAUAUCGUAUCAUAUAUCAUAUCAUAUCAUAUCACAUCCUAUCGUAUGGUAUCAUAUGAUAUCACAUCAUAUCAUAUCAAAGCAUAUCAUGUCAUAUGAUAUCGUAUCAUAUCAUAUCAUACCAUACCAAACCAUACCAUAUCAUAUCAUAUUAUAUCAAUUCAUGUCAUAUCAUAUCAUAUCAUGUCAUAUCAUAUAUCGUAUCAUAUGAUAUGAUAUGAUAUGAUAUGAUAUAUGAUAUCAUAUCAUAUCGUAUUGUAUCAUAUCAUAUAUCAUUUCGUAUCAUAUUGUAUCCUAUCGUAUCCUAUUAUAUUGUAUCAUAUCAUAUCAUAUCAUAUCACAUGGUAUUGCACCAUACUUUUUUGCACAAAACAACACUCAAAAAUCUGGAAGGACUGGGUUUGUUUCCCAGUAUUAAGGUCAGAGUCUCUGAUACAGAUCAUGUCUUCACUGUUUUAAAAUCUCCUUCCUCUGAGAAAAAGACUGUGAGGUGAAAAAUUCUGCUUCUGCUUCAUGAAAUAGUGAAUGUUUAGUUUUUUUCCCUAACACCCAAACCCGCAGAGCUGAGAACACGCUAACAGAUAUCAUCAAUGAAAUAAUGGGUCAAACCCUCAGCGCUGCACUGUGCCUCUGCACCACUGGAUGGCACUGCACCUCCUCUCUCACCUCCCCUCUGUCCUUGCUUCACCACUCCCUCCCUCCCUCCUUCAAAUGUACUCCCUUUUUCCCUCUCGCCCUUUCCCUGCGUCUCCUCAUCUCGUGUAGGAGGAAGAUUAGAAUCGCCACAGAGCACAGCGAGGAUUACCAGAUCGAUAUCGGAGACAAUCUCUUUCUCCCAUCUCUUUUUACAUGGUCUCUCCCUCCAUUUCCUCCUCCUCCUCCGUCUCUGCCACUCACUCUGUCCCUCUCUGUGCCUAAUUUGUGUUUUCACCCUCUGCCCUUCAAGUCACUCUUUGCUUCUGGGUGUAUGAGGAGGGAAAAGAGAGACAGGGAGAAGGGGUUUUAGAGCGGGUUAGAUAAGCAGACAGACGUGCAUGAAUGAUGAAAAGAAAAAGACAGAUAGAGCUGCGAGAAGGAGACAAAGAUAGUAUUGAUUCACCCUGACCUGCUUUCACAAACUGUCACAAUAUGCAAGUCUGUUAAUUCAUUACACAACAAAGCCAUACAGAAUAACCCACAUCUUCUUCUACUUCUACAGAAACACACUUUCAGAGGAGAAAGGAGAGGAGAAACACCGAGAGGUAUUUUUCUCUUCUCUCAGACGGACUAACUGAGACCUGAGGAGAACAGGAGAGAAGGGAAGGAGAGAGGAAAGGAGAGAAGGAGAGAGGAGAGGAGAAACACACUGAGAGGUAUUAUUCUGGUCCCUUAGACGGACUAACUGAGACCUGAGGAGAAGAGGAGAGAAGAGGAAGGAGAGAAGGAGAGGAGAAACACAUCGAGAGGUAUUUUUCUCUUCUCUCAAAUGGACCAACUGAGACCUGAGGAGAGGAGAGGAGAGAAGGAGAGAGGAAAGGAGAGAAGGAGAGAGGAGAGGAGAAAAACACUGAGAGGUAAUUUUCUGUUCUCUUAGAUGGACUAACUGAGACCUGAGGAGAGGAAAGGAGAGGAGAGAGGGGAGAAGACAAGAGGGAAGGAAAGAGGAGGAGAGGGAAGGAAAGAAAAGAGGGUAGAAGAAAGGAAAGGAGAAGAGGACAGAGGAGAUGAGGGAAGGAGAGAAGAGGGAGGAGAGAGGAGGAAGGGAAAGGAGAGAGGAGGAAAACACCGACAGGUAUUAUUCUGUUCUCUCAGACCGACUAACUAAGACCUGAGGGGAGGAAUAGAGAGGGCAGAGAAGGGAAGGAGACAAGAGUGGAGGAAAGAGGAGGAGAGGGAAGGAGAGAGAAGAGGAGGGAAGGAGAGAGGAGAGGAGAAAAACACCGGGAGGUAUUUUUCUGUUCCCUCAGAUGGACGAACUGAGACCUGAGGAGAGGAAAGGAGAUGAGAGAGGAGAGGAGGAAAGGAGUGAAGAGGGGAGGAAAGAGGAGGAAUGGAGGGAAGGAUAGAGGAGGAGAGGAAAGGAGGGAGGAAAGAAGGGAAGGAGAGAGGAUAAGAGGAAAGGAGAGAGGAGGGGAGGAAAGGCUAGAAAAAAGUGGAGAAUAAGGCAGAGGCGGGAGAAUGAAUUAAACAAAGAGAAGAAACAGAGGAGAUGAGAAAGGAGGAGAGGAAAAGGAUAUGAGAGAGGGAGCGACAGAGAGAGCAGAUAAGGAAAGGAGAUAAAGGAUAUAAAAGAAAAGAG